AUGGCGGGCGACCAGGUGCACGUGCUCUCGGCGCUGGACGGCGCCAAGACGCAGUGGUACCACUUCACGGCCAUCAUCGUCGCCGGCAUGGGCUUCUUCACCGACGCCUACGACCUCUUCUGCAUCUCCCUCGUCACCAAGCUCAUCGGCCGCAUCUACUACACCGUCCCGGGCUUGCCCCGCCCGGGAAGCCUCCCGCCGACCGUCUCCGCGGUCGUCAACGGCGUGGCCUUCGUCGGCACGCUCUCCGGCCAGCUCUUCUUCGGCUGGCUGGGUGACAAGGUCGGCCGGAAGAGCGUGUACGGCAUGACGCUGAUGCUGAUGAUCCUCUGCUCCGUCGCGUCGGGGCUCUCGUUCGGCAACACGCCCACCAGCGUCAUGGCCACGCUCUGCUUCUUCAGGUUCUGGCUCGGCUUCGGGAUCGGCGGCGACUACCCUCUCUCCGCCACCAUCAUGUCCGAGUACGCCAACAAGCGGACGCGCGGGGCGUUCAUCGCCGCCGUCUUCGCGAUGCAAGGGUUUGGCAUCCUCGCCGGCGGCGGCGUGGCUAUCGGGAUCACGGCGCUGUUCAGGGACCUGUUCCCGGCGCCUCCGUACGCGGCGGACCCCGCGGCGUCCACCCCGGCGCAGGCGGACUACGUGUGGCGCAUCGUGCUCAUGCUCGGCGCGCUCCCCGCCGCGCUCACCUUCUACUGGCGGAUGAAGAUGCCGGAGACGGCGCGGUACACGGCGCUCAUCGCCAAGAACGCCGAGCGCGCCGCGGCCGACAUGUCCAAGGUGCUCCACGUGGAGAUCACCAAGGAGCAGGCCGGCGAUCUGGAGACCUCCCACACGCCGCCGCCGUCGUUCGGCCUCUUCUCCCGGGAGUUCGUGCGCCGGCACGGGCUCCACCUCGUCGGCACCGCGUCGACGUGGCUCCUCCUGGACAUCGCCUACUACUCGCAGAACCUGUUCCAGAAGGACAUCUUCAGCGCCAUCGGGUGGAUCCCGCCGGCGGCGACGAUGAGCGCGCUGGACGAGCUGUUCCACAUCGCGCGGGCCCAGAUCCUGAUCGCGCUCUGCGGCACCGUGCCGGGCUACUGGUUCACCGUCGCCUUCAUCGACUCCGUCGGCCGCUUCAAGAUCCAGCUCAUGGGCUUCUUCAUGAUGACCGCCUUCAUGGUCGGCCUCGCCGUGCCCUACGACUACUGGACGGGCCAGGGCCACCAGGCCGGCUUCGUCGUCAUGUACGCGCUCACCUUCUUCUUCGCCAACUUCGGGCCCAACGCCACCACCUUCAUCGUCCCCGCCGAGAUCUACCCCGCCAGGCUCCGCGCGACGUGCCACGGGAUAUCGGCCGCCUCGGGGAAGGUGGGCGCCAUCAUCGGGUCCUUCGGGUUCUUGUACCUCGCCCAGAGCCCCGACCCGGCCAAGACCGCCCAUGGAUACAAGCCCGGCAUCGGCGUGCGCUGCUCCCUCCUCGUGCUCGCUGGGUGCAGCUUGAUGGGGUUCAUGCUCACCUUCCUCGUCCCGGAGCCCAAGGGCAAGUCCUUGGAGGAGAUGUCGCGCGAGACCGAGCCCGACCAUUGCUAG
rnacentral:rRNA from 1 species